rnacentral:rRNA from 1 species
CCUACGGGAGGCUGCAGUGGGGAAUAUUGGACAAUGGGCGAAAGCCUGAUCCAGCCAUGCCGCGUGUGUGAAGAAGGCCUUCGGGUUGUAAAGCACUUUCAGUGGGGAAGAAAGCCUUGGGGCUAAUACCCUCGAGGAAGGACAUCACCCACAGAAGAAGCACCGGCUAACUCCGUGCCAGCAGCCGCGGUAAUACGGAGGGUGCGAGCGUUAAUCGGAAUUACUGGGCGUAAAGCGCGCGUAGGCGGUCUGAUAAGCCGGUUGUGAAAGCCCCGGGCUCAACCUGGGAACGGCAUCCGGAACUGUCAGUCUAGAGUACAGGAGAGGAAGGUAGAAUUCCCGGUGUAGCGGUGAAAUGCGUAGAGAUCGGGAGGAAUACCAGUGGCGAAGGCGGCCUUCUGGACUGACACUGACGCUGAGGUGCGAAAGCGUGGGUAGCAAACAGGAUUAGAUACCCCAGUAGUC